GGCCCAAUGGUCUAGUGGUACGAUGCUCGCUUUGGGUAAAGCUUACAGCUGUCACUCUGCGAGCGGUCCUGGGUUCGAACCCCAGUUGGGCCC